rnacentral:sRNA from 1 species
AAAGUAUGUAAAAGUAAAAUUACAUGUUAAUACGUAGUAUUAAUGGCGAGACUCCUGAGGGAGCAGUGCCAGUCGAAGACCGAGGCUGAGACGGCACCCUAGGAAAGCGAAGCCAUUCAAUACGAAGUAUUGUAUAAAUAGAGAACAGCAG